UUGCCGGCGACCGGCGGACGGGUGCGUAACGCGUAUGUAACCUACCUUUGACAGGGGGAUAACAUCGAGAAAUUGGUACUAAUACCCCAUAACAUCACCGGAGGCAUCUUCGGUGGUUGAAAACUCAGGUGGUCAGAGAUGGACAUGCGUUGUAUUAGCUAGUUGGUGAGGUAACGGCUCACCAAGGCGACGAUACAUAGGGGGACUGAGAGGUCAACCCCCCACAUUGGUACUGAGACACGGACCAAACCCCUACGGGAGGCAGCAG
rnacentral:rRNA from 1 species